AACGUAGGACACAAGCGUUAUCCGGAGUUACUGGGCGUAAAGGGCGUGUAGGCGGACCUAUAAGUCUAUUCUGAAAGCUCCUGGCUAAACUGGGAGAGGCGAAUGGAGACUGUAGAUCUAGAGUGAGGAAGAGGAAAGUGGAAUUCCGCGUGUAGUGGUGAAAUGCGUAGAGAUGCGGAGGAACACCAGUGGCGGAAGGCGGCCCAUCUGGGACAACACUGACGCUGAGGCACGGAAAGCGUGGGGAG
rnacentral:rRNA from 1 species